rnacentral:rRNA from 1 species
AACGAACGCUGGCGGUAGGCCUAACACAUGCAAGUCGAGCGAUCCUUUCGGGGAUAGCGGCGGACGGGUUAGUAACGCGUGGGAACGUGCCCAAAGGUACGGAAUAGCAUCGGGAAACUGGUGGUAAUACCGUAUGUGCCCCUCGGGGGAAAGAUUUAUCGCCUUUGGAUCGGCCCGCGUAAGAUUAGAUAGUUGGUGAGGUAAUGGCUCACCAAGUCUACGAUCUUUAUCUGGUUUGAGAGGAUGAUCAGAAACACUGGGACUGAGACACGGCCCAGACUCCUACGGGAGGCAGCAGUGGGGAAUCUUGGACAAUGGGCGCAAGCCUGAUCCAGCCAUACCGCGUGAGUGAAGAAGGCCUUAGGGUUGUAAAGCUCUUUCAGGGGUGAGGAUUAUGACAGUAACCCCAGAAGAAGCACCGGCUAACUUCG